GUCCCAGUAGCUCAGCUGGAUAGAGCAGCCCCCUCCUAAGGGGCAGGUCAGCCGUUCGAAUCGGCUCUGGGACG
rnacentral:tRNA from 1 species